UGUACAGGAUAUAACAAAGAUAGAUAUGUAAAUAAGGAAUGACCUUUUCUAAAAUUCAUCUGUGGUGGCUCUUAUAUUGCUUUUAGGUGAAAUGAAAUCAUCUACAGACACCAAAUGAGAUCAAGGACCAUUGUGCUCUCAGACUGGAAGAUGUAACCUUUUGUGAAACAUUUAAAAUCAAAACACUCUGGACACAUAAAAGAAACAGAUUUUUCACCUUCCUAGAAAGGAGAGCAGAAGUGAUCGAUCACUGUUGCCAGGAACACUUUGUCAGCAGAACCUCUGGAGGAGCCCAGGUGGAGGACAAAGAAGCCUCAAGAGCUUGUAACAAAGAUGAUGAUGUGGGAAACCAUGUCCCCCUGUUCUCCCAGGUGCCAUCAAGACCAUUGCCAGACCUACCACGUCAGCAGUCCUGCAGACAGUGAGGGGUGACGUGGCUGUCACUCCUUCACCAGCUCAGGCAUUCUCAGAGCUCUGGCUUUGCACCCUGUACUAUUCUGUACCUGUGUUUGGGGACACGGACAUCUCACCAGGUAAUGAAAAUACCAUGGAAAACACAGAGGGUGACUAUGAAUUGGAAUGUGGGCACUGUGCAUUUUUUUCUGUAUAUUCU
rnacentral:lncRNA from 1 species